rnacentral:piRNA from 1 species
UCUUAAGUAUGUGUCGAUGAGUUU